rnacentral:rRNA from 1 species
AGGGCGCAUGGUGAAUGCCUUGGCAUCAGGAGCCGAUGAAGGACGUGAUAAGCUGCGAUAAGCUUCGGGUAGGCGCACAUAGCCUGAGAUCCGAAGAUUUCCGAAUGAGGAAACUCACAUGGGAAACCCCAUGUAUCAUUAAGUGAAUACAUAGCUUAAUGAAGGUAACCCAGGGAACUGAAACAUCUAAGUACCUGGAGGAAGAGAAAGAAAAAUCGAUUUUCUUAGUAGCGGCGAGCGAAAGGGAAAGAGCCCAAACCGGAAACUUGUUUCCGGGGUUGAGGACAUAACAUAAAGAGAAGUAAUGGCUAAUUGAAGAGAACUGGAAAGUUCCACCGUAGAAGGUAAUAGUCCUGUAAGUGAAAUGAGAAGACCACGAGUUAUGAUCCAGAGUACCACGAGACACGUGAAACCUUGUGGGAAGCAGGGAGGACCACCUCCCAAGGCUAAAUACUACCUGAUGACCGAUAGUGAAGCAGUACCGUGAGGGAAAGGUGAAAAGCACCCCGGAAGGGGAGUGAAAUAGAUCCUGAAACCGUGUGCCUACAACCGCUCAGAGCCCCUUAUGAGGGUGAUGAGGUGCUUUUUGUAGAACGAGCCAACGAGUUACGGUAUGUAGCAAGGUUAAGUACUUAAGGUACGGAGCCGAAGGGAAACCGAGUCUGAAUAGGGCGACUAGUUGCAUGCCGUAGACCCGAAACCGGGUGACCUAUCCAUGGCCAGGUUGAAGCGAGGGUAAAACCUCGUGGAGGACCGAACCACGUUGCUGUUGAAAAAGCAUGGGAUGAGCUGUGGAUAGCGGAGAAAUUCCAAUCGAACCCGGAGAUAGCUGGUUCUCUCCGAAAUAGCUUUAGGGCUAGCGUCGAGUAUGAGUAGUGGAGGUAGAGCACUGAAUGGGCUAGGGGGCAUAGCGCUUACCGAACCUUAUCAAACUCCGAAUGCCACAUACUUUGAGCUCGGCAGUCAGACUACGAAUGAUAAGAUCCGUGGUCAAAAGGGAAACAGCCCAGAUCGUCAGCUAAGGUCCCAAAGUGUAAGUUAAGUGGGAAAGGAUGUGAGAUUUCUAAGACAACUAGGAUGUUGGCUUAGAAGCAGCCAUUCAUUAAAAGAGUGCGUAAUAGCUCACUAGUCGAGAGAUCUUGCGCCGAAAAUGUAACGGGGCUAAACUUACCACCGAAGCUACGGGCUUGAACUUAGUUCAAGCGGUAGGAGAGCGUCGUAACCGGGCUGAAGUCGUACCGUAAGGAGCGGUGGACUGGUUACGAGUGAGAAUGUUGGCAUCAGUAGCGAGAUGUGGGUGAGAAUCCCACAGGCCGAAAACCUAAGGUUUCCUCAGGAAGGUUCGUCCGCUGAGGGUUAGUCGGGACCUAAGCCGAGGCCGAAAGGCGUAGGUGAUGGACAACUGGUUGAUAUUCCAGUACCACUACUAUCGUUAUUAUCGAUGGCGUGACGCAGGAGGAUAGUGUGUGCUAGCUAUUGGAUGCUAGUCUAAGCGUUUAGGCAGUGAGAGUAGGCAAAUCCGCUCUCAUAAUGCUGAGGCGUGAUGGGGAAGGUUCUACGGAACCGAAGUACAUGAUUCCACGCUGCCAAGAAAAGCGUCUAGAGAGAGAAGUAGUGCCCGUACCGCAAACCGACACAGGUAGGUGAGGAGAGAAUCCUAAGGCCGGCGGAAGAAUUACAGUUAAGGAACUCGGCAAAUUGACCCCGUAAGUUCGCGAGAAGGGGUGCCUACGAGAGUAGGCCGCAGAGAAUAGGCCCAAGCAACUGUUUAGCAAAAACACAGGUCUCUGCUAAAGCGUAAGCUGAUGUAUAGGGGCUGACGCCUGCCCGGUGCUGGAAGGUUAAGGGGAACACUUAGCGCAAGCGAAGGUGUGAACUUAAGCCCCAGUAAACGGCGGCCGUAACUAUAACGGUCCUAAGGUAGCGAAAUUCCUUGUCAGGUAAGUUCUGACCCGCACGAAUGGCGUAAUGACUUGGGCACUGUCUCAACUGUAAAUCCGGCGAAGUUGUAGUGCGAGUGAAGAUGCUCGCUACCCGCGAUUGGACGGAAAGACCCCGUAGAGCUUUACUGUAGCUUAGCAUUGAGUUUUGGUAUUGUCUGUACAGGAUAGGUGGGAGACUAGGAAACCAGGGCGUCAGCCUUGGUGGAGUCAACCUUGGGAUACCACCCUGACAGUACUGAAAUUCUAACUGGCGGCCAUGAAUCUGGUCACAGGACAUUGUUAGGUGGGCAGUUUGACUGGGGCGGUCGCCUCCUAAAAAGUAACGGAGGCGCCCAAAGGUUCCCUCAGAACGGUCGGAAAUCGUUCGAAGAGUGCAAAGGCAGAAGGGAGCCUGACUGCGACACCCACAAGUGGAGCAGGGACGAAAGUCGGGCUUAGUGAUCCGGUGGUACCUCGUGGGAGGGCCAUCGCUCAACGGAUAAAAGCUACCUCGGGGAUAACAGGCUGAUCUCCCCCAAGAGUCCACAUCGACGGGGAGGUUUGGCACCUCGAUGUCGGCUCGUCGCAUCCUGGGGCUGUAGUCGGUCCCAAGGGUUGGGCUGUUCGCCCAUUAAAGCGGCACGCGAGCUGGGUUCAGAACGUCGUGAGACAGUUCGGUCCCUAUCCGUCGCGGGCGUAGGAAAUUUGAGAGGAGCUGUCCUUAGUACGAGAGGACCGGGAUGGACUUACCGCUGGUGUACCAGUUGUUCUGCCAAGGGCAUUGCUGGGUAGCUAUGUAGGGAAGGGAUAAACGCUGAAAGCAUCUAAGUGUGAAGCCCACCUCAAGAUGAGAUUUCCCAUUUCU